AUUCUCGAUGAGCGCGUUGUAGAUAAUCUUCAGAUUGUAAUUCCUCUGCGCGUCCAGUGUCCUAUUCAGCACCACCACUAAGACCUGGGUUUGCGGGUAGAGGAAAAAACCGGCUACAGGGACAGCCCCGAACGCCCGGUCCUCGGCCAGCUGCACUUUCUCCACCGCCACUCGGGAAGCGUGCAGCACUACGUAGCGGGUGGCGUUCCGGCACGCGAUCUCCACGUUGACCUCCCCGGAGAAGGUGAAGUUCUCCAUGAAGGCGGUGAGCAUCAGAUUGUAGUGCAGCGGCUUCAGGUGGCCCGACAGGCGCAGCUGCGUCCACGGCUCCCACGGCUCCCGCUCCUCCUCCGACGGCGGCUGGGCCGACGUGGUCCCCGGACUGGCCACCCCACCCGCCUCGGGCUGCCAGGAGUCCCCGCCUGCGUGGUGGUUGCGCCGGGCCGAUCCAGGGAGGCUCCCGUUGCCGCCGCGCUCCGGAAAGCCUGAGGGGCCACCGUCGGCGCCUGGCGUGGCACUCGCCCCGCACUCGUCGAAGCGCAGGCUGAGCAGCACAGCGAGCAUUGUGACCGCGAGCAAUGCCACGAGGGACACAGCGAAGGCCAGCACAAGCCGCUUGUGUACGGCGAUGUGGCGCUCCGUGGUGCGGGGUCGCACUCCCACUGAGUCUGCCCACGGGUCGGAGAGCCCCCUGCUGCCAGCCCGAAGCGCGGCGUCGUCUUCCCCCAUCGCGGCUGCGAAGGCGGCGGCGUUCGGUCCUCUGGGUGGAAUGUGCUCGCAGCAGCAGUGACGGCGGCCACAGCACGGGAGGCACCCGAGCCAUACACCCUGCAGCUGGAGAGAAAAGGAUGGCCGAGGUGGGAGAGACUAGAGUGAACCAGCAGGAGGAAGUCCCAGGGCCGCGAAGCUACGACGGAGAUCCGUCCUGGAAAAGCCUUCUCCACCCUGGGCACUUUAAGCGGCGGUGGCGGCAAACGGCAGGAGGUUGCAGACCCGACAGCGAGACUCCCUCAUUCCAGUCUUGCUCUGCCCUCCGGAGAUGACAAGUGAGAAAGAAGUGUCCGGCCGGGCCAUCCCCUUCAGAGAAGCAACCACUUCACAAGAAGAUUCUGAAGUUGGCCAUUUUUGAUCCCAGAACAGUUUCUCAUAGAUUAGAAAUAUUGGAGUCUACACAAAAAUCGAUAUUCAUUUACAAGAUCAUCACUAAACUUAUCUUGCAUAACGGAAUGUAACAUCUCAAGUUAAAGAGGAACUGCCCGGAACAGCCCGGGGAUUGUUCCUCUCUCCUGAGAAGGAAGAUUACCUCCAAAGCUCAUCCACUGAGUCACACUGCCCCUGUGGUGGAGGGCGGGCUGCCUUUCCAGGUUCCUCAGCUGUGGUGUAACUGAAGCAGGCACAAUCAAGACUCCAUCUGCUCGAGGCAGCUUUCUCGAACCUUGGGGAACCUACUCACAAUGGAUCACAGGCUUCUUUUGUUUUGUUUCUUGCUGCCUAUCUGUAAGUAAUUAACUUGCUUCAUGUAACGUGUUGCAUAUGAGUGUGUUCUGUCUCAUAGACUCAGGGAAUUGGUAACACUGCAGCUGAGGACGCAGUGGACAGAAGUGUUCAGACUCCUGUUCCUUGUGGUUGACACAGUGAUGAUGAUCUCUUCUGUCCUCCACAGAGUGGAAGUCCUCUCUUGGGAUUGGUUAUUGGUGAAACCACUUCGCAAUUUAUUAAGAUGGCAAAAGCUUACGGAGGGACAGAUUUGAGGGGAAGAUCAAGAUUUUUCUGUCAGUAUUGCAAAUAGUCAAGAAUAUGUGGUCCAAGAAGUGAUCAUUAUCUUUGGCAUUGUGCAAGUCAUUAGUGACCUUCACAUGAACAGUCUCAGUGGAGUGUUGGAGGAAAAAGCCUAACUGAAGAAGGUUCAAGAGUGAAUGGAAAAAGAGCAGUAGUAUGUGGAGAGUACAGACAAGUAUUUCCAGGAGCCUUUCUGUAAAGAGUGGUAGAGAAUGGGACAUCAUUUUUGGAUGGGGGAAGAGUUAUUUAUAGCAUGUUCAUAUGCUAAUGGAAGUGAUCUACUCAUGGGGAAAAUCUUGAUGAUGCAAGAAAGAAAGGGAUUUGUUGGAAUCUUGUCCUAUAACGGGUGAGAGGGGAUGGGUUCUAGAAGAAAAGGCAUGGGUCUUUGUUUGAGAUCAGGCAAUUCAUCUGUAGGAACCAGUAGGAAGAUGGUUAAGUGGGUACCUGUGGUAGUGGAUGUUUGUGAACAUUCUUUUCUUUUCCAUUGUUUCUAUUUUCUCAAUAAAGUGGGAAGCAAAAAUCAGCUGAGUGAAGAUGAGGAAGAAGGUGUUAAAGGUUUGAAGAAAAAAGGAAAAGGAUAUACUAAUCUAAGAGGACAAGUAAGUAGAACAUAGAUAAUGAAAAUGCUGGCCCUUAGGACUGUUGGGCCUAAAUGCUCAUAUUAUAUUGGUAGUCACAAAUUUGAACUUUCUCUAGAGCCAAUUUUUGCAUGUGUGUGCAGGCCUGGAGUAGUUGGAGAGUUGGAUUUAAUAGAAUUGAGGGUCAAGCAACUACAACCAGGGAAGAGUGGGACAAGGGAGAUAAAGGAUAUUGGCAGGGGAGCAAUUAUAAACAUGGACCAUGAUCAAAACUGGACAGGAAGGAAAAUAGAGAUAAGAGGGGUGGAAGGUUAAAAAUAGUGAAAAUGAGAUAGAAUGAAUAGGUUGUAGGUCCCUGUAAAGUUGAAGAAGUAUUAUUAUGCAGUACUCGUUAUUGAAAUGAGGUCACUAUGCUUAAGGCACAGUGAAUCCUAGAAAAUAGUGGUUUUGUUUCUCAUUAGGCAAUACAUUCCUCCUUGCUCCAGAAUGCAACAUACAUGUAUCCUUUUCUGUACUAUUUUUUAUUAAGAAUUCAUACUUAAUUCCACUGACUGCCACUCAAUUUUAAUGUACAGUAGGGAAUUCCUGUACUAUGUAUUAUGAAUCCAUUCCUUUGAAUUUCAUUUAUAAUACUUCAUGACUGACACCUGGCUUUCCACCAAGACUCAAUUUUCAUAGCAAGCCUCAUCAUCAUAAGCCCCCAAAUUAACAGGAUGAGGAGGAAGAAUUGGCAGGCUAAAGAAGAUGAUUAUAUCAAUUAAUGCAGAAAAAGCAUUUGAUAAAAUCCAAUAUUCAUUUGUAAUUAAAAACUCUCAGCAAGUUAGGGAUAGGAAUUACUUCAACUUAAUGAAGAGUGUCUUUAAAAACCUUAUUUUCAUCAGUUAUAACAAAUGUACCACUCUGGUGGUGAAUGUUGCUAAGGAGGGAAGCUAUACAUGUGUGGGGAAAGGAGAUGUGUGAGCAAUUUCUGUACCUUCUACUCAAUCUUCUGUGAGACUAAAAUUGCUG
ensembl:lncRNA TRHDE-AS1 TRHDE antisense RNA 1